CGCUGGCGGCGUGCCUAAUACAUGCAAGUCGAGCGAACAGAUAAGGAGCUUGCUCCUUUGACGUUAGCGGCGGACGGGUGAGUAACACGUGGAUAACCUACCUAUAAGACUGGGAUAACUUCGGGAAACCGGAGCUAAUACCGGAUAAGAUUUUGAACCGCAUGGUUCAAUAGUGAAAGACGGCCUUGCUGUCACUUAUAGAUGGAUCCGCGCCGUAUUAGCUAGUUGGUAAGGUAACGGCUUACCAAGGCAACGAUACGUAGCCGACCUGAGAGGGUGAUCGGCCACACUGGAACUGAGACACGGUCCAGACUCCUACGGGAGGCAGCAGUAGGGAAUCUUCCGCAAUGGGCGAAAGCCUGACGGAGCAACGCCGCGUGAGUGAUGAAGGUCUUCGGAUCGUAAAACUCUGUUAUCAGGGAAGAACAAACGUGUAAGUAACUGUGCACGUCUUGACGGUACCUGAUCAGAAAGCCACGGCUAACUACGUGCCAGCAGCCGCGGUAAUACGUAGGUGGCAAGCGUUAUCCGGAAUUAUUGGGCGUAAAGCGCGCGUAGGCGGUUUUUUAAGUCUGAUGUGAAAGCCCACGGCUCAACCGUGGAGGGUCAUUGGAAACUGGAAAACUUGAGUGCAGAAGAGGAAAGUGGAAUUCCAUGUGUAGCGGUGAAAUGCGCAGAGAUAUGGAGGAACACCAGUGGCGAAGGCGACUUUCUGGUCUGUAACUGACGCUGAUGUGCGAAAGCGUGGGGAUCAAACAGGAUUAGAUACCCUGGUAGUCCACGCCGUAAACGAUGAGUGCUAAGUGUUAGGGGGUUUCCGCCCCUUAGUGCUGCAGCUAACGCAUUAAGCACUCCGCCUGGGGAGUACGACCGCAAGGUUGAAACUCAAAGAAAUUGACGGGGACCCGCACAAGCGGUGGAGCAUGUGG
rnacentral:rRNA from 1 species